rnacentral:rRNA from 1 species
CUUGACGAUCAUAGAGCGUUGGAACCACCUGAUCCCUUCCCGAACUCAGAAGUGAAACGACGCAUCGNUAACCGCUGAAAGCCGCUGAAAGCAUCUAAGCGGGAAACUUGCCUCAAGA